CAGUAGCCGCGGUAAUACGGAGGGGGCUAGCGUUGUUCGGAAUUACUGGGCGUAAAGCGCACGUAGGCGGCUUGGUAAGUUAGAGGUGAAAGCCUGGAGCUCAACUCCAGAAUUGCCUUUAAGACUGCCGAGCUAGCAGGUGAGAGAGGUAAGUGGAAUUCCGAGUGUAGAGGUGAAAUUCGUAGAUAUUCGGAAGAACACCAGUGGCGAAGGCGGCUUACUGGCUCAUACUGGACGCUGAGGUGCGAAAGCGUGGGGAGCAAACAGGAUUAGAUACCCCAGUAGUCCCUGUCUCUUAUAC
rnacentral:rRNA from 1 species